rnacentral:lncRNA from 1 species
ACCUGCUUGGCAAACUUAACACCAACAACAUAUAGACGAAUUGAUGGUGAUAGAGCGAUAUUGAUAUACGAGAGCAACAUUUGGUCGCAAGGUGCAUAAUCAUGGUGAGCUAGAGAGGGCAACGGGUUGGGAUGUCCAUCGGUAAAAUAAAUGAGUAUAUGGUCUCUAAGGAUUAAUUGAUUCGAAAAGAGAUAUCCAAAGAAGAUGGUUGGUGCAGUCUAACUUAAUAGGGAUAGCAUCAUAGAUGUUGAAGAUGAUAAAGGAGAUAAAGAAGGUGGGG